CCACGCCAUCCACUCCCUGCAUGUAGGGAGUUAGGCUACGUGCCGCUGUGUAUAUGUAACAGACUGCUCAAUGGAAUAGAUCACAGACUCAUUCCGCCAUUCUUCUCCCUGUCUGUGCGCCGCCGCUCUCUCGUCUCGCCCCUCCCUCUCAGGUGCGCCGCCGCUCUCUCGUCUCGCCCCUCCCUCUCCGGUGCGCCGCUAUUCCCUCGUCGCCCCUUCCUCUCCGCACAAAAAGGGAAGAAAAUUGGGGUGCUAGGAAGAAGAGGAGCACGUGCGGACGGCGAGCAGCUGCGUGGCUGCUGUUGCAGCUGGGUUACAACACCGAUGGAUGAAAUGCUGCUGAGACGUUACAAGAUAUUCCAGCAGAGGCAUCCUUACCGUCCGCAUUACAAGGAUAUGAGAACAUUGGGGUCCUGAAGGCAGUGACCUGUUUACCAUACAUGUAUUUACUUCCUUUCUAGGGCGGAACAAUGGAAGGCACAAUUCCAAGUACAGCUCUUCAAGAACAGUUCUCUGAAGGAACAACAAUUUACAAGCUUGGCGCUUACCAGGUUCAAUAUGCUAGGGAAAGAUACAAAACUGUAGAUCGUCCAUGGAGAGUAGUGUUUGCCCAAAAAACUACCGUGGAACCAAUUGUGCCUCAGCCACCAAACUUUCCCAAUUAUGGAUAUACCACCUACAAUGUACACAGUAUCAAAGCCGCAUUAAACAAAUCAUUUUGUUGUCAGUAUCACAAGAACAUUUGCGCCGAGUGGCGGAUCGAUUGACCAGAUAUGAGAAAAUCACAUCACAAACAAUGCCCGCCAUUGUGACGUUUUGGGGAAAAUUAGCAGAUUCCCUUGAUGCAGACAAGCUACAACGGUGGUCUGCUCAAGAACCCAUUAUAGUUCUAUUUGUUGGCAUGCCAGUACAUGAAUUUAAUGAAACUUGGCCUUCAAGUCCUGUCUGCCAUAUUGCGAUGGAACGGCAGUAUAAUAUACAAAACUUUGACGAGGCUCAUCUGCUUCAAAAUUUCACAAUAAGUCCAAUCAAGACAAUUUGCAACUUUGGUGUUGUCACAUUGGAGUCCGUGCUGAGCAGCAAUGGGAGACUGUCGUUGAUGCCCAACCAAUGAUGCCGACGAAGGAACGAGAGUCGACGAGGAGUAGACGCCAUCGGUUCUUGAACCGCCAAGCCACUGUUGUCCGUUUGGUAAUGUCCGACGUAUCAGUGGCAUAGUAUGACUUGCCCCGAUUUUGACGUCGUCUACCAACAUCCGACGAAGGGAACCCGUCCCGGUUUCCAUCUUGAUGGUAAGUUCUCUAAUCUUCUAUCUCAUGGGAUGUGAUGUGGUUGCCUUCAUUUUGGCUUUUGACAAAGGGUUGAAAUUAGCUUAUGUGCUUCCGACGAUUGAAAUUCCAGUUAUAUUAUCAACCUUCAGCGAGCAGUGACAACGAACUCCAUCCCCCCACCACACCACACCCAUGUUUCAUAUGAUGUGCUUUAAGCCAUGUUUCAGCUUGUCUCGACCCAAGCAUGUAUUUUUUGUUUCAGUUGUUGAGAUCUGCACUACAAAACUGAGAAAGGCCCAUAACUUUUUACAGGUCAGCCAUGUUUACUAAAAUAUAUAAUUUCUAAAACAUUUCCAGCAAUAUGCGAGUUGUUUGCUUGCUCAACCUUACGCUAGGAUCAUUUCUACACACUAAAUAGAGGGAAGUUGGCUUGUGCCUUACUAGAGACAGAUGAACCAACAAAAUGAUUGGAAAGGCUCUUUCCAAGCAUAAGAGGAGCUUUUCAAGGAACCUAAGAACCGGAACCUCCCCUCCCCCUCCUGUGACGCUCCCGCGGGCGUCCAGGGGGCAACCCUAGCACCGCCGCCGGUCCCCCCUCCUGCUCUCCCUCCUCCCUCGCCGCCGCCCGGGGGCGCGAGCGGGCGAAGCCCGCUCGUCGCUGGCGGCAGCGGGGCCUUCUCGUCUCUGCGCGUGGGUGUUUCGGCGCGUGUGCCGUUGCCCGGCCAGGCCCUUGCGGCAGGUCGACGUCGCACGUCGCUGGAGACUCCCCUGGUGGCCAUACAUGGAUGCGGCAGAGGGCUCUGCUUCCUCAUUAGAUUAAAUUUUGGUGUUGCAUUGUUGAGCACUUCAUGUGAAUGUUCUCUAGUCUCUAUUGUGCAGGGGGUUCUACUCUCCCUCUUGAGGCAAGUGUGGAUGUAAUGGAUAUUGAUUGUGGUUGUUUGGACAAAAAUAUUGCGUGCAAACAUUAUUGAGUACUGAUGGAGCAGAGUAGUUGUGGAGCGGGUCGUGGGAGAGACGGUUGGUUAGCAUGGGCUGGACGGGAAGGUGAUGCUUGCGAUGGCGACCAAGCCGGCGGGCAAGGCAGGGGCGACCAUGGCCAUCGGGGUGUUUUCAAGGGAGAGCGAGGCAACCGCCAUCACGCAACUGAAGAAGUUGAAACCCGGGGCGAAGUUGGUCAUCAUGGCCAGCAUGAAAGUUGACAAACCUAAAUGCCGGUGAUAGGUUCGCUGCUGUCGCGCCGUCUUUAAACUUGGUGGAGACGCAGAAGCAGUGGCAGAGCUAGGAUCAAGCCACGACCCGGGCAAGCCCCAGGCCAAUCACUUGGUACAAUGCUAAACAGUGUAAAAUCCGCUACAGUAAACAAGCCUGAGGACCUAGGCCGCCGCCUGGGCAGCUUGGGGCUUGUCUCCGCCACUGCGCAGAAGGAGAGCGGUGGCGCUGUGAAGACCUCGAUGACUGCUGCCAUGACCACGACCAUGACGAUUGUGUUGGUAAUAAAGAUACUAAUUGUAUACAAAUCCCCCAGCUUCGAAAACAUUAGAUUAUCCAACUUAUUAUUCAAAUUUUUGAUUCAAGAUAAAUGGAAAUUUCCUAUAUACAAUGAGCUUAUUAUUGAAGGUUGCA